rnacentral:lncRNA from 1 species
CACACACACACGAAUAUGAAGAUGCUAGCUCAGCUUUACAAACAACCUUAGCUAGAGAGCAAGUACAGACAGUCCUAGAAACCUUUGGCAGGUUGCAGCACUUUUUAUCCUUUUUCACUAUAGGUGCUUCUUUCUCUCCAAAAAGAAGAAAUGUGCUAAGUUUCAAUUUUGAUUGCAAGUUGAUAGGUCAGGAAAUGUCUGCUGACGCUUCUAAAGUACACACACCUUGAAGCUAUUUUAAGAAAAGAAGUCUCACUGCAAAAAUAAGAUUCUUUAUUGCCACCUCCUGGCCUGUGCCAUUCUCCUGGUUCCCUGAAGAGCCAGGGGCUGGACAUGCAUAUGCAGAUAGCCCCCGCCCACUGUGAGGAGGCUGUGGCUUCUUUCCUUAGGCACCACUCUGCCACCCAGGGCCGCAGUCUGAUGGAGAAAGGGGAGUGUAGAGGAUCCAGGCCACCCAGGAGGUCAGCACUGGCGAAUGGGAAGCAGGCACAGGAGGCCUGGUGAUAGGGUGUGCUGGUGCCCAUGUGCUCUGGCUGGGCAGAGCCAGUUCGCUGCUCUCAGGUGUGUGGCUUUGCAGUGCUUGUGGGGAGGAUGUUGAUGUGGGUUAUGCAAGUUCUUGUAAAUAGCAAUUAGCGUUCUUGCCUCGGUUCCCAGAUUCCUUAUUUAACGGGAUGUUGGAAAGCCCUGCAUCAAACUAAAAAGUCGUAAGAACGGCUCUUAAUAGAAGUGACCACAUACUAUACACCUGCUCUGGCCUGAGGAUGGCCAUCAGGAGCCUGUAAACACCGAUGGACUGGAUGUCAGACUAUCAGAAAAGAAAGAAUACAAAUGGUAAAAUAAAGUUUCCCUUGUGAUGCUGGGCUAAAGGCUUCUCUAGAUCGGAAGUGUGAAGACAGCGAAGUUCUGCAGGUCUGUUCUGUGGGUAGAGAUCCCGUGUGUGCUGUAAUUACAGACUCCUCACAAACGUGAGGGGGUGCUAUAGGUGCAUUUGUAUAGGCUUCCCACGAACUACAAAUGAUUGUUUCAUUGUUGGCACUAUGAAAUGAUGUAUUCUUAAUUAAAAGCGAGUUACUGGGACUACUUCUAAAGGAUCAGCUAUAGCAGUAGGUUAUGAAAACACUGACAGUAGUAAGCCUUUCCCAGGAACUCAUGUCUUAAUGUGUAGAAUUAAGGAUAUUCAGACUAGCUUCCAGUCCCUAAAUGUGUUCUGUAGUGCACCUUUAGUUAGGUGGUAACUUCAGCGUCAUCUCUCUUCACCUCCUCCUUGGUUCAUUUGGAACCUCUCGUCCAGGGAUUGCAUGGAUGCUGGAAUCUCAGUGGUCAUCUCUGAGACUGGCUCAUGAUUUCCCCUUCCACACCCUGGGCUGGGUGCGUGCAUCUGAGAGGAGCAUCACACAAAGGUGGAAGCAGCCUGGGUGUGCUGCGUGUGCCGCGCUGAGAAGAGACUGCCCACUCUGUGGAGUUAGUCAGGGCGUACCCACUUCAGCAGAGGUUGGGGUGCAGCCCAGUGUUCCAGCCUGAAAGGACGGUCUGGAACUGGAAAAGCAUUCUAAGCGCCUAUGACGUACAGAGUUGUGAAAUUGCCCUUGGGGGAGGGCUCUACAGCCUGGCCUGUUUGCCCUGCCUGAUACGGGAGAGGAAGGAGUGAGCAAGGCUGUUUUCAGUAAGGAAGCCCCUUACCUGGAAAAUAAUCGGUUUCUCUUGAGUCCAGGUCCCUCUUAUCUCUGCUUGGCUUUAAGCUAUAAGAGCCAUGCAGACUGAAUCUGUCCCUGCCGUGUGCCUUCAAAGUAACACUUUCCCUUUGUUUUAAAUUAUCUAUUACGUUUCAGCCACCUGAGGAUUUUUAUAGUGGGCCUUUUCUCUCAGGACCCUUACCUUUAAAAGAAAUAUUUUUGAAAAAAAAAUUUCAGACUAUUUUCUGAUUGUAUUUAUCUUUCUCCAAUUCCUCCUAGAUCCUCCCACCCCUAUCAUAUAUACAUAUACACAUAUAUAUUUACACACACUUAUACAUAUGCAUAAACAUACAUACAUCAGAGAAACAAAAGCAGCAGCAGCAAAGAAACAAACAAAAAACCCAGAAACCAAACAUAUAAGCACGGUUGUGCAAGCCUUUUAACCCCAGCACUUAGGAGUCAGUGGUAGGAGGAUCUCUUGAGCCAGGUUUGUGAGUUUGAGGCUGGCCUUGUUUACAUAGUAUGUUACAAAUCAGACUAGAUAAAAGACCCUGUCUCAAAACAAAAUCCGAAAAAAAAUAUACAAGCAAAAGGCCAAUAAGACCCUUGGUCCCCCAAG